rnacentral:rRNA from 1 species
GACGAACGCUGGCGGCGUGCCUAAUACAUGCAAGUAGAACGCACAGUUUAUACCGUAGCUUGCUACACCAUAGACUGUGAGUUGCGAACGGGUGAGUAACGCGUAGGUAACCUGCCUGGUAGCGGGGGAUAACUAUUGGAAACGAUAGCUAAUACCGCAUCAUAUUGAUUAUUGCAUGAUAAUUGAUUGAAAGAUGCUAUUGCAUCACUACCAGAUGGACCUGCGUUGUAUUAGCUAGUAGGUGAGGUAACGGCUCACCUAGGCGACGAUACAUAGCCGACCUGGGAGGGUUAUCGGCCACACUGGGACUGGGACACGGCCCAAACUCCUACGGGAGGCAGCAGUAGGGAAUCUUCGGCAAUGGACGAAAGUCUGACCGAGCAACGCCGCGUGAGUGAAGAAGGGUUUCGGAUCGUAAAGCUCUGUUGUAAGAGAAGAACGGGUGUGAGAGUGGAAAGUUCACACUGUGACGGUAGCUGACCAGAAAGGGACGGCUAACUACGUG